rnacentral:rRNA from 1 species
AGUGGGGAAUAUUGGACAAUGGGCGAAAGCCUGAUCCAGCCAUGCCGCGUGGAUGAAGAAGGCCCUAGGGUUGUAAAGUCCUUUCGAUGGUGAAGAUAAUGACGGUAACCAUACAAGAAGCCCCGGCUAAUUUCGUGCCAGCAGCCGCGGUAAUACGAAAGGGGCUAGCGUUGUUCGGAAUUACUGGGCGUAAAGCGCACGUAGGCGGCAUUGUAAGUUGGGGGUGAAAUCCCAGGGCUCAACCCUGGAACUGCCUCCAAAACUACAAAGCUAGAGGAUGUGAGAGGAUAGUGGAAUUCCGAGUGUAGAGGUGAAAUUCGUAGAUAUUCGGAAGAACACCAGUGGCGAAGGCGACUGUCUGGCACAUUUCUGACGCUGAGGUGCGAAAGCGUGGGGAGCGAACAGGAUUAGAUACCCUGGUAGUCCACGCCGUAAACGAUGAGGGCUAGUUGUCAGGCGGCAUGCCGUUUGGUGACGCAGCUAACGCAUUAAGCCCUCCGCCUGGGGAG